GGCUCAGGACGAACGCUGGCGGCGUGCCUAACACAUGCAAGUCGAACGGAGUAUUGAGGAAAGCUUGCUUUUUCAAUGCUUAGUGGCGAACGGGUGAGUAACGCGUGAGCAACCUGCCUAUAAGAGGGGGAUAACGUUUGGAAACGAACGCUAAUACCGCAUAACGUAUCAUGAUGGCAUCAUCGAGAUACCAAAGGAGCAAUCCGCUUAUAGAUGGGCUCGCGUCUGAUUAGAUAGUUGGUGAGGUAAUGGCUCACCAAGUCGACGAUCAGUAGCCGAACUGAGAGGUUGAUCGGCCACAUUGGGACUGAGACACGGCCCAGACUCCUACGGGAGGCAGCAGUGGGGGAUAUUGGUCAAUGGGGGAAACCCCGAACCAGCAACGCCGCGUGAAGGAUGAAGGCCUUCGGGUUGUAAACUUUUGUUGUUGAGGAAGAUAAUGACGGUACUCAACGAGGAAGCCACGGCUAACUACGUGCCAGCCGCCGC
rnacentral:rRNA from 1 species